CACAGGCUCUCGUGGCCCUUCUUUACUCCUCGGGUUUCAACAUCAACCCGGAGUCCGCGACCACGCUGGGCUUUGGGUAACUAGGUUGUGUUCAUCAUCCUGGAACAAGUUCCUUUAUUUGUCCCACGUGUCUGUGUUGGUUCCUUAGUGCUUCCCGGAGUUGAUUUCCUGACUCAGAGUUUACGCGUGGCACUCAAGGUCCAUAAUCAGGAAAGGGAACGACUCAUUGGGACCUUUUUUAAACUUGUCUGUAAAAUGAAGAGUUGGAUUAGAUACUUUCUAAGGUCCUCUCCAGCUCAAAAAUAGGAUUCUUAUUUCCAUCUCUUGACACUCGUUGUUUUUUAAAGUGCUGCUUUUACGCAGUUAUGAUAUAAGUGUGGUAGAUAUCCCCAGUGUCGAAUUUCAGUGUGUCCACACCGCAUCCAGCUGAUUAAGGCUAGACUGGCUUGCGGUGGCGUGGUCUUGGUAUUCCAGGAAUAACUCACUCAGUAGCAGAAACUAGAAUGGAGUUUCCGAAUCUUAAGCGUAUAUGUGUGCAUCUCAUGCUCAUACUAACGUCAUGAUGAAAUGCGUGAUUAUUACACACGUCCCAUAGCUCAAAAUCAGCUUGAUUACUCUUCAUGUUACUUAUUUGUGUAUUGAUAAGGUCAUAAAGAUAUUUGACCAAUAUUUUGCCUUUCUUCCAAGGACAAUUUUACUGUCAUUGACAUUGCCGUUCUCAGUGCGGAAUAAAAAUAAAUUGCUUGUCUUUGAUCUGCACAUUCAUCUCGUACACAUUUUCCAGCAGAGAGGGACGUCUCAACAUAGAGAAUGGGCUUGGUCUGCUUCCAAACCAUAUCCUGUGAAACUGACUUGGGUUUCAUAAUUUCAAACAGAGCGAAAAAUAGGAUGCAUCUUAUCUUCGCUAUUCGGAGAAAACUAAAUUUGCUAAUCCUCUGCGUAGCAGAGUUAAAUGGAAAGAUUUGGACUUGGAGAAAUUCUGAUUCUCGUGUCUUUUCAAUCUCCUCCUCCACUGUGUCCCUGACAUUUUAAGUGACCUGAAGGAAGUCACGUAAAUUCAUCAUUUUCCUUUAGCAAAUGAGUGUUACUCCUGAGCCUCUUGGGGGUUGCCUAAGUCGUUCAUUUGUCAAAAGCCUUGUGCAUAAAGAGGUCUCUGAAAUUGCAUUUAUUUUAUUAUCAAUUUUGAAAAAAAAAAAAAUCUGACCUAGAAUCCCAGGCCCUUUCACAGUGCUGUUUUAUAUAUUCCAUGAGCUUUUAUUUCUUCCCUCCACCAGCAACUCCUACCCCCCCCCCCCCGCCCCCAAGAACGAUAACCUGUGUUAGAGGAAAAGGCCAGUGUGGAAGCGCUGUGAAAACUAUAAGAUGUCCCACAAGACCAAGCCUGUCUUAGUAUUACUAACCCCCGAGUACGGUGUAAUUACUACAUGAAAGGUAAUAAUGGCUUUUAGAAAUAAAAUUGGUCAUCUUGGGCGAAGUUCUCCCUGGAAGGAAGUGUCUGGCCACAAUAUCUCCUUGGAAAACCAUACCUUUGAAUAAAAUAGGGGGUAUCACUUUUAAAAUAAAUAUCUAGCCUUGUGAUCAACUUUAGUUAUGCUCAGGGGGCUUGGAUACAGCUUUACCAUUCCUUAAACCUCAGUUCAGUGGCCUAGAAUCCACAUUUUUCCAAGUCGAGUGGCAAGGACCUUUGAGAACCUCAGAAGUUACAGGAAGCAUUAGCCAACCUCACAGCACCCUCUUGUCUGCACUGUGGAACCUGUAGGUUUGUGUACAUGUGUCAUCUGAAGAAUAGUAUCAAGUAGGGCCUGUGUGUGGUCACUACUCUGCCUGCCCACCAUUCUUGCAUCUUCAGGAAAAAGCCCUCUUGUUACAAAAUCAAGGAUUUCUUUUCCUUUCUGUGUCUCACUAACCUCUCAGGAGGGUUUGAUGCUUGUAGUCACUGCCUGAUCACAAAGCCUCACUUUCCUUGGCUUUGGUGACAAAACAGUCUCCUGUGAAGUUCCUCUGAACUUUACAAAACAGCUGCUUCUCAAGCUCCUUUUCCCCAAACUCCACCUAUUCUUCCUCUGCCACCCCAGGACCACAGAAUAUGCUGCAGCUAACCCCCAAACCUGCACACCCCGUGCAGAUCCCGUACCCCAGAGAGAGGCACCCUCCCAGCUGCCAGCCGCUUGGAUCCCUUGCAGGCCCUCCAACCCAGGGUGCCCCCUGCACUAGUGCCAUCUGCCCUCUGCCCUUCACCAGCCAGGAAUCUCAGAUUCAGGAUUCAAGGAACCCCCACCCUUGCUACCUGACAACACGGGCCCUCACCCGUGACCCUCCUCUCCCAGUCUGUCACCAAGCUCCGCCAAUUCUCUUGAAUUGUCUGCAAGGCAGAUGAAAGACUGAACCAAGGCUCCCUGGAUUCUAGCCCAGCUCUAGGCUUUUGGGAAGGGUCUGAGUGUGAGCCGAUUUUCUCUUUGAACUUGAUUUCCUGAUCUUUCAGUAGAAAAAUGGCACCUAUAUUAUAGGACUUGGUGGGGGGGGUCAAAUUCGAGAAGACAGUGCAAGCAAAGCGCUGAGUCGAACCUGUGGCACUCAAGACACUCUUCCCCUCUUGUCAUUGGUCCCCUCUCUCCAGCCAAACCCCCAACCACAGGUGUUUCUCAGGGGGUCACUUCAGGCACUUCUCCACUGAGCUCUGGUUCCAUGCAUGUCAGCUCCAGCAUUCCGUCUGUUCUGCGCCCUGCAGUCAGAGAUCUUUUUAAACCACAGAGAUGCCUGCACACUUCCCUGCUUCCUUAGUGUCCUCUGUUUACUUUCCCCCGCUGUUCAGAUACAGUCCCACUCCUUCGCCCCGUGUGUGACCCCCCUCACCUGCUCCUCCAGCUUCAUCUCAGGCCUCUUCCCGUUUGUACCCUCUGCUUCAGCUGUGCUGAAAUUCCAGCCCCUGGCAUGCGCCACGCUCUUUCUUUCCUCACGAGCCCCCCUCGUGCCCUUCUCGGUGUCCAGUGUAGGAACAUUCCUUUGUCUUUCUCCCUCACCUGGCAGAUCCCGUGCGUCCUUCUUUGUCCUUCUCUGCAGUUUCAGUUUGUGCCCCUGCUGCAGGCUCUCAUGGUGCCUGCAUUCAUCAGAGCACAGGUCUUGUGGUUCUGGGAGUUUUAAAAGCAAUCUCUCUCCCGAGAUUGUUUGGUCAGCUUCUCUUCCCUGCACUAACCUUUGUUUUAUACAGAGCAGCCUUAUCUUCUGCAGAAUAAACAGCCUCCGGGGGUGGGGAACAUGUUGGCAGCCUUGGUCCCUUCUCUGGGGUCUCCUGGAUGAAAUUGCUAAAGAUGGAUCUCCCUGGUGUCCCCAGGGGCACAGGUAGCCAGCUCCCAGGGACAUAGAUCCCCUGUGCCCCUGAAAUUUAAGUAGCUUUUGUUAUACCUGUCAAGUCUGAUAUUUUUGUCAUUUUUUUCUCUCUUGCAAAUGAGGAAAGUAAGGAGCAGAAACGUUAAGUGACUUCAAAUCAUUUAUCUAAGGGGAAGACAGUUCUCUUGCCAUUGGUUCAUAUCAUUAGCAAGGAGUGGGGGAGGCUUCAAUGAGUAAAGCAGGCUGGCAAAUUUGAGGAGCCUGGAACACCCCUGUUCUGAGGAGCAGGUUCAGACCUGAGCAACUUCUUUGGGCCCAGGAGAUGGGGAAACGAAGAGGCAGAAAUGCCAGAGCGUCCAGCACUGAAAAUUAAAAUGAUGGCACCAAAUGCAACAGCCUUUUCAGAAGAAAACAGAUUAGUCUUUUCAACAUUAGCAGCACAUGUACAGAAUAGUGCUGACACAAUAUGUUGAAAGCACCAGUGUUUAAAAGGUGUUUUCCUCAAGAGAGUACCUUUAUAUGCUUUAAAUAAUGCUUAAGUGUAAAAUAAAAGUGAUGCUUGAACCUGCACAUUGGGUAUUUUGCUUAAAAACCCUCAAACUUGAUUUGAGGACAAACUCUGCAUUUUUUAUUGCUUAACUAGAAGGGAAUAUUUUAGCUAUUUUUCAGCUCUGUUAAACAUCAGCUCUGACUAAAAAAGUGUCUGCCUAGGUGGGUGUUGAUUAAUGCUGCUAAGAACACUUUGUGUAGGAUUUUAUGCUAAUUACCCUUUAUACCCUAACCCGUGUCAAUUUUAACAAUCUAAAUUAGCAUUUUCUCCCAGGACUCAGAAAUGUGAGAAUUGUGAAAUUGGCUCAGUAAGCUGAGUUAGCAGUGAGAAAAUUGAGAUGUUCUGUAUUUCUGUAUUAACAUCUGCUGCUUGUUCAAAGCGUGAUCCUUUCAAAAUGAUGACGAUAUUGGGAAAAAAAUAAGGAGAGAUGGGAGAGUUGCCGCAUACUUUAUAUUUUUUAAAAAAAUUGUAAUAUUUGACAUUGUCAUCUACAAUUCACAGUAAGCAUGGCCGGAAUAAUGGAUUUUUUGAUGUACAGUGUUUGAGAAGUUGAUUGCAUUAUUAUAGAUACAGAUAUUUUAGCUUCUUUGUUAUUUUGGCACCUGUAUAAUAGAACAUACUCUAAAAGAUGCUUGGUUAUAGAAAAAACAUCAGGUUAAGUCCCAGUAAAAAUUAACUUUCAUUUUGUUUAUUUUUGAGGCAGCUUAAAUAGGAAACACAGGCAUUUCCAGAUGGCUUUUCUUUAAAAUAGAAUACCAUAUCUCUCCAAGGAGGAAGGUUUAUAAUAAACUUCCAGCUCAUAGAAUGGGAUAUGGACCGAGAUAUGUAACAAUCAGAUGCGGGAGUUGUAAAUUGCAUGGGGAAGAAUCUUUAUCCAUCACUUGAAAGAUCUCUCCCAGGUUUGCGAAAGACCCAGGUCCAGGUCGUUGUCAUUUUCAUAAUCUGUACCACCCAAGAGACUGGGUUAAUAUGACACCUUAUUAGAAGGAAAUCUUUUGGAGUUCCCAUCGUGGGUCAGCAGAAACGAAUCUGACUAGUAUCCGUGAGGAUGCAAGUUCGGUCCCUGGCCUCACUCAGUGGGUUAAAGAUCCAGCGUUGCCAUGAGCUAUGGUGUAGGUCACAGAGGUGGCUUAGAUCUGGUGUCGCUGUGGCUGUGGUGCAGACCAGUGGCUGCAGCUCUAAUUCGACCCCUAGUCUGGGAACUUCC
rnacentral:lncRNA from 1 species